rnacentral:lncRNA from 1 species
UAUGUAUUCUGCAUGUUUGCAGGGAGAGAAUGACUCUGAAUGACUCUGAAGCACAGGUGAGAGGUGGAAAGACACUGGCUACGGGAUGGAUUUUCAUUUGCCGGCCUCUUUCUGUAGCCUAACUACAUUCCUGCCCUUGGGAAGCUUUGAAGCAAAACAUAUCCUUGUGGAAAUUUUGGGGCAAUCUACACAAAAAGAAUCCAUGAAGUUUUCCUUUGGCAUCUUCAUGUGUAAAUAAGAAAUAGAAACACAGGUAAUAAAAGUGCUUCCUAUGAAUUAUCUCCUUGCACACAUGUGAGGACACUCAGAGGUGGGUUGAAGAAACAUGCUCAAGGUCACACAUUCAAGGUCACACAGGGAGAAUGUGGCAUUCAACAUCAGGUCCCAGUUCUUAUAUUUCUUUCUGUUUCUCUGACUGGUGCUGAUAAUACGGGGCUGUUAUGAUGACCUAGAAGAAUCUGUUACUUUUUUAUAUCUAAUGAAAGGUGAGGCCCUAUGUCUGAAUAAACUACCACCAUGGUAGAUGCAGGAGUGGUUAAGAGGACAAAUUCUGGAACUGCAAAGCCUGCACUGGAAUCUUGGCUCUGGUUCUUUUUAGGUGUGUGAAUGUAGGCAAGAACUUAACCUGUCUGUGGAGGGUUAGAAUAAAGAUUUCAAAUUCUUUGAUGCUAUGUCCAUUGAGAUGUGGGCUCAAGGUUCCUUUCCCUUGCAUCUAGGUAGACUUCCAAUGGUUAAAGUAGAUGUUGGUUUAGGAGAUGUUUCCUUGUGCGAAGCCUUCCUUGAUCUUUUUGACUGAAGCAUAUCUCUUAUCAUAAGUUCUCCUCAUACUCUGCAUCCUUCUGCCUGACACCUGUCACAGUUGCAUUUUGACAUUUGUAUGAUUAUUUUAUGUCUGUCUCUCCUAGGAGACCAUAAGCUCCAUGAGGGCAGGCAGUGAGUUGUGUUCUGUUCACCCUUGUGGCCCCAGUGCUUUCCUCUGGGAUGAGCUCAUAGUGUAGCUCAAUAUAGAGUGAACAGUGAAGAUGAAGUCAGAAUAGGAAAGUAUCUGCU